GCACUCAUUUCAGCAGCACAUAUACUAAACCUGGAAUGAUACAGAGAUUAGCAUGCCCCCUGCACAAGGAUGACAUGCAGGUUUGUGGAGUGCCUGUAUUUUUU